CUCUCUCUCUCUCUCUCUCUCAGACGGUGGUGGUGAAACUCAUCGGCGUCGGUUCACUGGGUUAGGAAACAAAAGUGGUUUGGGUCAGACGGAGGUUUUGCUCAAAAGAUGCUGGCGGUUUGGCUCUCUCUCUCCCUCACAGAUGCUCUCUCUUCCCCUCUUUGAGGUCUCUCUCUCAGACGGUGACGGUGACGGUGAAACUCACCGGCGUCGGUUGACUGGGUUCGGAAACGAAGGUGGGUUUCGGUCCGACGGAGGUUUUGCUGGUUGAGCACCGAUUGGGCAUGGGGAGAAACUUUCUGUCAUGGCCGAAUGGGCAAGUUUGGGGGCUGGGUUUCUUUUGCUCCACUAGUUUGAUUUUGCUUCACUGAAUUGGUUGGAAAAUUUUGCUCCAAAGGAAACAUUUUUGCUUCCCAUUCAGUUCAUAGAAAAAAUCGAAGGAAAGAUCAAAACAAACCAACAGAAAAUCAACCCAACUCACUUCAACCACCAAGUUUUUUCCCCAUGUGAAUGCAAGAAAAUGGGUUUUUCCUUUAUAUGAAGAUUAGAUUUUUCUUUAUUUAUGAUUUAAUUGCCUAAAUGGGUUUGCUUUGGUUUUUGUUUUGAUUUGGGUUUGGAUUUGUUUGUUUGUCUACAAUUGGUGGUUGUUUUGUUUGAUUUCAAAAAUGGGUAAGAAUUUUAGGGCUUUUAAGUUAUGAUUUUGAAAUGAAAUUUGAUUUUUUGGUAAGUGUUCUCCCCUGCCUUCAGAUUACUGAAGUGAGGUUUACCAUUAAUUCUCCUUUGGAUCAAUUCUUUCUCCAUUCCCUUUAGUUUCAAGCAUUUGUGUCUAUUAUAUAUAAGUGUUGCUACACCACUGUGAGCAGGUGUUUGCAAUUUGCUUAACGUGAAGUUUUACCAAAAAAAAAAAAAGCAGACUUAUUUUGCUUGAGGUAGAAGAGAUGGAAGUAUUGACACACCGUGGUUAUUGGAGAGGCAACCCAAAGCAAUAGCAAAGGAGAAGACAAUUUUCUGUUACACUGUGUACCUAAUUGUCUUUUACCUUCCUUGUUUGUAUUUUUAGGUUAUUCCUUCAUUCUAACAGGAAAACUUUAUAUUCAAAGGAGUGAUUCUUUUCCAUGUUGAAACUUGUAACAUGUAGAUGUAGUUCUCAUAUAGAGAUGUUAAUUGGAUAUUUUGAUGCAACACGAUAGCGAGGGAGGGAGGGAAGGAGAGAGAGCAUCUUCUGAGUAUCUUUUCUUUAAAAACAAAAUAAUAAAAAAACCUAACUGUAGUUGGCUUAACUACGGCCACAUAGGCAACUCUGGAUUUCCCCCGGAUUUUUCCAUUGCGCAAAGCAUUACUCCAGAAAAAUACCUUACUUCUUCUUUUUUUUUUUUCUUCACACUCUUCUUUGACAGAAAAAGAUCAAAAAAAGGAUUUGCUAUCUUGAUUUUCUCUCAAAAUUCCUCUCAAUUUUCUCAUUCUCCAACACCAAACCGAAUGACGAUUUCUUCUACCAAUCCCGUUUCUUAUUAGCCGUUUCAGUCUCAAAUAAGCUAUUAUAACCGCGAGUAGAGAUGAACAGAGUGAGAGAAGACGAGUCCUAGAGAUCGAGUUUUCAGGUUUGGGUUGUUGAUGGCUAUGGGUGCCCUUUCGUAGGAGACGAAAUGUUUUAGUGCUCUGAAGACGCCAUGCCGGCGGGGUUGUCUCCCUCCAGAAACGAAGGUGGUGGUCUCUGCCGGGGGUUGUCUUGCUCAGAAAACGUCGGCGAUUUGACUCCAGCUCCAGCUCUCUCAACAGAUUCGGCAGUUGGGCUCCGACAACGGCGGUUUGGGUUCGGUUAGUUGGGAACUUGCUUCUGCUUUGAAAGAAUCCAAACAGAGAUUUGAUGCAGUGGGUGUGAAAUUAGUUGCUGUUGGUGUUGGCACUCCUAAUAAAGCUCGGAUUCUCGCUGAUUGGCUGCUAUUCGUGAGCAAUCAUCAACAAAGAACAGGAGUAAGUGAAAGUAUCUCAUUUUGUGCUACAUUUUCCACUGAGUACAUCUUGUAGGAAUAUUAUUGCCAUCAAUGACAUCAACCUGUGACAAUAUAUUUGCCAUGUUUACCUCAUUUUUGUCAUUAAAAUUGACUUCAACCAGUGCAGCAAUCUCAAGUAAAACAAGAAUAAGGUGGACUCAGGAUCUUCAUGAGAAGUUUGUUGAGUGUGUUAAUCGCCUUGGGGGUGCUGAAAGCAAGCAAUUUGAUAAAGGAUUUGUCAAAAUAUUCAAAAAGAAAGAAAUCCAUCGUUUUCUGACAAUUUCUCUAAUGAUCGACUGUAGAGGCAACGCCAAAGACAAUACUGAAGUUGAUGGACUCAGAUGGAUAGACCAUUUUUCACGUGAAAAGUCAUCUCCAGAAAUACCGAAUUGCAAAAUACAUGCCAGACUCAAUAGAAGUGAAUUUACCACCGCUUGCACUCUUUUGGCUUAGGUUACAUUAUAGUUGGUAAAUUUUUGAAUGUAUUCACCUAGAGAUGUAAUCUGACGAGGAAGACUCAGUUUUUCAAUUCGUUUUGAGAAUGAUUGUUAUGUUUAAACAAUUUGGCACUCGGGAGUGCAUUUGAGUAAUCUCUUGUUUUUUCUUA